rnacentral:rRNA from 1 species
GACGAACGCUGGCGGCGUGCCUAACACAUGCAAGUCAACUUGACUGAAGGAGCAAUCUGACAGUAGAGUGGCGCAAGGGUGCGUAACGCGUAAGUAACUUGCCCAAGGUAAGGAAUAACGUCGAGAAUCGGCGCUAAUACCUCAUAAUGCAGCGGAUCCGCAUGGAUAUGUUGUUAAAGGUUUACCGCCUUGGGAUAGGCUUGCGUCUGAUUAGCUAGUUGGUGUGGUAACGGCACACCAAGGCUACGAUCAGUAACUGGUCUGAGAGGAUGAUCAGUCACACUGGAACUGAGACACGGUCCAGACUCCUACGGGAGGCAGCCAAUGAGGAAUAUUGGGCAAUGCUCGAAAGAGUGACCCAGCAACGCCGCGUGGAGGAUGAAGGUAUUCUAUAUCGUAAACUCCUGUGAGAGCAGACGAAAGACAGAUUAUUAAUCUGGAUGACCGUAUGCUCAGAGGAAG